rnacentral:tRNA from 1 species
GGUUUUAUAUUCAACAAUGAUUUUAAAUUGCAAAUUUAAAGGUAUGAAUUUUCAUUAAAACUU